rnacentral:tRNA from 1 species
ACCUGGGUGGCUCAGUCGGUUGAGUGUCUGACUUCAGCUCAGGUCAUGAUCUCGUGGUUGGUGGGUUUGAGCCCCGCAUCAGGCU